AGCGAACGCUGGCGGCGUGCUUAACACAUGCAAGUCGAGUGCGCGUUUUUCUGUAGCAAUACAGGAAAAUGGCGCACGGCGCACGGGUGCGUAACACGUGGGCAAUCUGCCCCUCGAGUGGGGAAUAACCCGCCGAAAGGCGGGCUAAUACCGCAUAACAUUCCGCGGACUUCGGUCUGCGGAUUCAAAGUCCGCAAGGACGCUUGAGGAGGAGCCCGCGGCCGAUUAGCUAGUUGGCGGGGUAACGGCCCACCAAGGCGAUGAUCGGUA
rnacentral:rRNA from 1 species